rnacentral:rRNA from 1 species
UCAGCUCGUGUCGUGAGGAUGUUGGGUUAAGUCCCGCAACGAGCGCAACCCUGCAUUCAGUUGCCAUCGGGUAAUGCCGGGCACUCUGGAAGGACUGCCAUCGACAAGAUGGAGGAAGUGGGGAUGACGUCAAGUCAUCAUGGCCCUUACGGCCUGGGCUACACACGUGCUACAAUGGUCGGUACAAAGGGUUGCCAAGCCGCGAGGUGGAGCUAAUCCCAUAAAACCGAUCGUGGUCCGGAUCGCAGUCUGCAACUCGACUGCGUGAAGUCGGAAUCGCUAGUAAUCGUGAAUCAGAAUGUCACGGUGAAUACGUUCCCGGGCCUU